rnacentral:rRNA from 1 species
UACGUAGGGACCAAGCGUUGUUCGGAUUUACUGGGCGUAAAGGGCGCGUAGGCGGCGUGUUAAGUCACUUGCGAAAUCUCUAAGCUUAACUUAGAACGGUCAAGUGAUACUGAUGUGCUAGAGUGCAGAAGGGGCAACCGGAAUUCUUGGUGUAGCGGUGAAAUGCGUAGAUAUCAAGAGGAACACCUGAGGUGAAGACGGGUUGCUGGGCUGACACUGACGCUGAGGCGCGAAAGCUAGGGUAGCAAACGGG